rnacentral:rRNA from 1 species
GUUUGAUCCUGGCUCAGGAUGAACGCUGGCGGCGUGCUUAACACAUGCAAGUCGAACGAUGAAGCCCAGCUUGCUGGGUGGAUUAGUGGCGAACGGGUGAGUAACACGUGAGUAACCUGCCCCCGACUCUGGGAUAAGCCCGGGAAACUGGGUCUAAUACCGGAUAUGACCUCGCACCGCAUGGUGCGGGGUGGAAAGAUUUAUCGGUGGGGGAUGGACUCGCGGCCUAUCAGCUUGUUGGUGAGGUAAUGGCUCACCAAGGCGACGACGGGUAGCCGGCCUGAGAGGGUGACCGGCCACACUGGGACUGAGACACGGCCCAGACUCCUACGGGAGGCAGCAGUGGGGAAUAUUGCACAAUGGGCGCAAGCCUGAUGCAGCGACGCCGCGUGAGGGAUGACGGCCUUCGGGUUGUAAACCUGCUUUCAGUAGGGAAGAAGCGAAAGUGACGG